UCCUCUGCGAUCCAGGCCAGGUGUGCCCUCCCAUCACCCGCGCUUACUGAACCCAAUGAUAUGAAACUAACCUUGCUAUCCAGCCCGGUCACUUGGGUGGAGCUGGUGCACUAUCCAGACCAUGAGCCUUUGAAGAUAUCCAAGACCGGCUCCUCUCCAGCUGCCGACAUUGAGUGCAAGUUCCUGUUGACAUUGAGUUGUUUGUUUUUGUUUUUUUUAAUGUAUCAGCUAGCAUUUUCAGUUUUUCUAAUUUAGAGUCUGUACAUUCAUGUACUUCUAGCUCAUUUAUAUAGGGCAGCACUUCUAGGACCCAGUUUGUCAUCUUCAGUUCCAGUCUGUGUUAUCAUUCAUUUUCUUAGAAUCGCGAAUAUAAUUCUUCCAUUUGAGACCAUGGAAGUUAUUUUUUUGCAGUGGGGAUACUGCAAAACUUCUGUUUGUGGAGUUCAUUCAGCAGAACUUCUGUUUGUUUGUUUUUUUGUCCUAGUAUACGGGUGUUUUUUUGUUCGAGUAACUACAACGCCUACCGCUUUCUCUUGAAUAUGAUUUCACACAUUGCUGUGAUUCUUUAUUCUUCUUUUUGGGCUUUUUUGCCUGAAGUUAGAACCAUGCAUCUGCGGCUGUUCUUUUUCCAUCUUUCUGUUUAGUCUUGAUAAGUACUCUAGAAUCUUAUUCACACAUCGUCUGGAAUUUUGUGGGGCAUCGGCUUGAGUCUGUAUAAUAUCCACAGUUUAGUAAGCUGGACUUUUAUGUUUAUUGUUCCUGUCUGACAACGCCUUUUUUACCCGGUGUCUGAUUUGUGCUGGAGCAGGCCCUUUUUUUUGUUUAGCCUCCGCAUGCAUGUAUUUUCUGGAAGCUUAGUUCGGUGAUGCCCAGAGCAAGAGGGAAUGUCUCAAUUUUUCUCAUGACCAAGUUUUUUUGCAUUAAUAAGUGCAGAUACCAAGUGUAAUUGUAGAGCUUUUGAAAAUUUGCUUGACUAAAAGAAUACUUGUUUUUUUCUUUUUCUCUUCUCAGAUUUUUUCUUGUGAGCUAUGUGGGAACUUUUGCCAUGGUAGUGCUGACAACAACUUCAAGAUCGACAUUCGUGAUGAGUUCCUGUCUAAAGCGACUGUCCCAUGCAAUGCAAGAGUCUACGUCAAUGGUGUUACCGGGGACUACAUGCGUUUUGAAGCCCAUGGACGCAAGUACUCUGUCGACAUUGUGAAGGGGGCACACAGGACCAGGAUCAAGGGGAGUGGCUGGAAGAAAUUCACUUCUGACUUUUCUCUUCAAAAGGGUGCUGUGGUCAUUUUUGACUUGGACAGGCGUCCCCGCCAGGCAUAUGUUGUCGCUCAAAGUGUUGACUUGCACAUAGACGUGGAUGAAGAGAUGAUAGAUGGAGGCAUCUCAGAUGUGGAUGAAGACGGUGGCAACAUAAAGAUCGAGUAUACAGGGGGUCUAACUCUGAAUGAUGCACAACAGGACAUUCUCAAUGAACUGGUGCUCAGCUUCAAGUCCAAGUUUUUAGGAGUGUCUUUUGUACACUGUCUUACUACAACUGACACUCAAGUUGGACAAAUGGUAUGUUUUGUUGUUUCUUUUUUAUUAAAA